AUUGAACGCUGGCGGCAUGCUUUACACAUGCAAGUCGAACGGUAACGCGGGCUUCGGCCUGGCGACGAGUGGCGAACGGGUGAGUAAUACAUCGGAACGUGCCCAGGAGUGGGGGAUAGC
rnacentral:rRNA from 1 species